ensembl:lncRNA
CCACCACCACCACUCACAGAGGCUGAGCAGUUGGCCCUCAGCCAAAACAGUGGGCGCCCUGUGGCUGAAGGCAUCUCUGCAGGGACAUCCUCUGAGUCAAUAACCCCGCAAGACACAAGUGCCUACAUAAGAGGUAAAUUCAAAAUAAUACAUGAUGUGCAUACAUCCUUUCUUCACAGUCACCUUUGCAGUGCUACUCAUUCAUUUGAUAAACUCUUUACCAUAAUGAAUUAUUUUGUAGUGAAGUUAUCUUCCUACUGAUUUUGCCUUCCCUCAGUCUUGGUUGUCUUUGAGAGCAUAAUGACAAUGAAGUGUAAGGUGAUUGGUAUAUGUUUGUUAAUUGCCAUUUGGUCCCUUGUAAGUUAUAAGUGACCUGUAUAAACCUCAUAUUCUAUCAGUUGAUGGUGAUGGUGUACUGCAUCUGGUGCAGCCUCCUGUUGAGCCAGACCAACAUGCAGUUGAAAAUAAUGAAGAAACAUUGACAGCUGUUACAGAGGAGGAAGCAACAGAGACACUUUAUGAGAGUGAUGAUGGAAAUGCAGAGGAAGAGGGUCCAGCCACUUCUCCAACAAACCUUUCCUCAUUCCCUGUAAAGCAGCUGUAUAAGAAAUAUUUGAUCAAGAAAAUAAAAAAAUGCGACUUGGAAAUGGAACACUUCAAGCAGCAGAUCCAAAAGACCAAGAUUGAGAUUUUACUGCUGGAACAUCAGUUAAGGGUGGGUGAAGUGGUCAGAGAUGGACGAAUUAUUUCAGUGUUUGAACAACAUAAUAAUAUACUUAUUAAUACUUUGUGUACAGGAAAUACAGGCGACCAAUAAAGCCAGUUGAAC